UGUCCCGAUCUCCCCUGAACCAACCUGAUCUUUAUCUGAUUUGAGAAGCUAAGUAGGGACAGGCCUGGUCAGUAUUUGGGUGGGAGGCCAUACGGAGGAUCUCCAGCCAGGGCGACAG
rnacentral:rRNA from 1 species